GAUGAAGAACGCAGCGAAAUGCGAUAAGUAAUGUGAAUUGCAGAAUUCAGUGAAUCAUCGAAUCUUUGAACGCACAUUGCGCCCGCUGGUAUUCCGGCGGGCAUGCCUGUUCGAGCGUCAUUUCAACCCUCAAGCUCUCCGGAGUUUGGUGUUGGGGCGCCUGGGGCUUUUCGACCUCAGGGCCCUCAAGUCCAUCGGCGGGACCGCCAGGACACUGAGCGCAGUAGUAUUAUUUCGCUCGGUAGGAUCUUCCACGGCGGGUCGAUCUGGCCGCUAAACCCCCCAAUUCUCACCAAAGGUUGAUCUCGGAUCAGGUAGGAAUACCCGCUGAACUUAAGCAUAUCAAUAAGCGGAGGA
rnacentral:misc_RNA from 1 species